rnacentral:tRNA from 1 species
GGCCCAGUAGUUCAGUUGGUUAGAACGCCAGCCUGUCACGCUGGAGGCCGAGGGUUCAAGUCCCUUCUGGGUCG